rnacentral:rRNA from 1 species
UACGAAGGGGGCUAGCGUUGUUCGGAUUUACUGGGCGUAAAGCGCACGUAGGCGGAUCGUUAAGUCGGGGGUGAAAUCCUGGAGCUCAACUCCAGAACUGCCUUCGAUACUGGCGAUCUUGAGUCCGGAAGAGGUGAGUGGAACUCCUAGUGUAGAGGUGGAAUUCGUAGAUAUUAGGAAGAACACCGGUGGCGAAGGCGGCCCACUGGGAUCGGUACUGACGUGAGGUGCGAAAGCGUGGGGAGCAAACAGG